rnacentral:rRNA from 1 species
GACGAGGGGUCCUAGCGUUGUUCGGAAUCAUUGGGCGUAAAGCGUGUGUAGGCGGUUUGUCGCGUCUGCCGUGAAAGUCCGGGGCUCAACUCCGGAUCUGCGGUGGGUACGGGCAGACUAGAGUGAUGUAGGGGGAGACUGGAAUUCCUGGUGUAGCGGUGAAAUGCGUAGAUAUCUGGAGGAACACCGGUGGCGAAGGCGGCAUCCUGGACCGGUAUUGACGCUGAGGCGCGAAAGCCAGGGGAGCAAACGGG